AGGAGUAUAGCUCAGUGGUUGAAUGGGUGCUUAGCAUGCAUGAGGUCCUGAGUUCAAUCCUCAGUAACCCUA
rnacentral:tRNA from 1 species